UCCAGAGACGUAUGUUGGCCUACCUACAGAAAGCCAAGUAGCGGUUAUUCCAUAUCAAUUCAACACUAAAAUAUUCGAUUCGACAUUAUUAUCUCAGAUUUGGCUGUUUUUUGAACAAACAUCCCCCCCUAUGUCUGAUGAUAUGAUAGGUCGAUGUGGAAUAGAGCUUCCUUGACCCCUUCAUAAGUUGGCCGCAUGCGCGCACCUGGAAACCAAGUCUGUUUUUCUCUGGGGCGGUUGGCAAACAUGGAUCUUUUAUGUGGAGACCUUGCUCACAGGCAACCUUGCACACAGCUCGACUAGCAGGAGCAGGAGUAAAGGCAUCUGGAUCCAUUGUCUGAAGGUCAAGUCCACAUCAAAAGGGACGGCGCUCACUGACGUCCAUGAAUACUGAAGACAGGAAGUUGGCUCCUGCUGCAGAUGUGUCAUGCUUGCUGAACAUGGCCAGGGGCAAAGAAGUUGAAUCUUGCAGCAGGACUGGAAUCAGAAAUGCCGUAAUUGAACGGCGUGCCGAGCAAAUCGCUUCGGGUUGGCAAUAAUAUCGCUGGUUUCUGAAAUAAUGCACUUAAGGCGGUUGGGAUGGUAAUGAGGGUUUCUUUCGCUGUCACAUUUCCUUCCUUCUCUUCUGCCACUUUCAGGUUAUUUGUAUGGGAACACACACAAACACACAAAUGUGCACAAAAAUAAAUACUUCAACAUUU